UUGCCAUAAUGAUGAUUGUAUAUCGCCCCAGUCUGAUGUUGUGAGUGAUUGAUGUUCUGAAAGUUU
rnacentral:snoRNA from 1 species